rnacentral:rRNA from 1 species
GCCCAGCGCAUAACCUCCCGGGCUACCCAGCCUGCGGCGGAAUGUUGCGUUAAGGGAAAGGUCGGUACAAAGCCCCGCACUACAUGGACUAAGCUUUGGUUUGAAUUGCCACUGUAUCCUAACGGGUGCAACGGCUCCAGAGAGGGUGUCAGUCCCGUAUGUCCAUGGAUGGUAUAAUGUGUAUGGGUUCGGCUUUAUUCCCUGAGAGUCGCGUUGCUUGGACAUGCAGCGCUAAGCAGGUCGUAAACUCGACCUAAGGCUAAAUAUUUUCACAGAACCGAUAGUAAACAAGUACCGUGAGGGAAAGUUGAAAAGUACUCUGAAGAGAGAGUCAAAAGACCGUGAAACCGUCUAGAGUAUAAGCCAAUGGUAUCCUGAAAGGCUGGAGAUUACGGGAUGGUACAUUCCUGAUUGUGGGAGGUGUAUGUUUACCGGAAGUUAACGUUUGUGCAAGUGAUCAUGAAGGCAUGGUGGGGAAUCGAAUGGAAAAGUGGCAUUGGGUUGAUAACACACCGUCUAUCCUUGCGGGUAACUGACAGUGGUAACAGGGUGCAGAAGUUCUAAUGAGGAACUGCCCGAGGCUGUACUUCAGCAAGUUCCGGCUUUGAGGCACACGAACGAGUAUCUUAACACAGCUGCACCGCAAUCCUUUAUAAGGUCUCCCUUGUGAGGUGAAGAAGAGAGUGUGGACUGUCUUGCCCACUCUCUUGCCCGCUCUCUUUUCUUGUAUGAGCCGUGCGUGAUCCCUAUGGUAUGUGUGCGAGACAUUCUCUCUCGCAUGCAAUCUUCUUCAUAUAAACAGAUAAUGGAGUACCUAGGGGUCGGCCGGCUUCUUCACUGUCCCAGCACAAGUGGUAUGAUCCUAAGUGAAGAUUGUUUCUGAAAGGCCUAAACCCUGUAGUGGCCUGUUAAUCGCAGUCACGACCAUUUGUGUGUGGAUGCCCCCAACAAUACAGACUCCUCAGUCCAGCUUCGUCUGGACAGCCCAAUAGGCGUUUAAUUGGUGGGGAAAGAGCUAAGGGCGGAGAUGUCCAUGGGUACUCCUGGAUACGCCCCCGCCCCAUUCACUGUUCGAUGAGGGUGAGGUUGAGAACAUGGAACGAGUUGAGGCAUGGGCGGGCGGCUCAAUCGGUGUACUAUUUCAGAGCCAUUGGUCACGUCUCGAAACACGGGCCAAGGAGCAUAGCAUGUGCGCAAGUCUAAGGGAUAUGAAAUCCUGGAGGCGAAGUGAAAGCAAAUGGUGUGAUUGUGUGGAGCCAUUGUGGCUCUGUGCAUUCAGCUUGUGAUGAGCGUAAUUCCUAAGUGUUGUCUUAUACGCUUGGAUGACUGCGUCUCGCGGCUUAAACCGAGUUGAUCCAUCGUAAUCAAGGCUUCAAGCCGCUACGAAGGCGCAAACUCCAGGCUCUCUGUAUAAGGGUAUUCGUAUCCUUGAGAGCACUGUAUAGCGUGUAUGCUAUAACCCGAAAGAUAGUGAACUAUGCCUGGCGAGGG